UACAGAGGUCUCAAGCGUUGUUCGGAUUCAUUGGGCGUAAAGGGUGUGUAGGUGGCGCCGUAAGUCGGGUGUGAAAUCUCGGGGCUUAACUCCGAAACUGCAUUUGAUACUGCGGUGCUUGAGGACUGGAGAGGAGACUGGAAUUUAUGGUGUAGCAGUGAAAUGCGUAGAUAUCUGGAGGAAUACCGGUGGCGAAGGCGGCAUCCUGGACCGACAUUGACGCUGAUGAGCGAAAGCUAGGGGAGCAAACGGGG
rnacentral:rRNA from 1 species